AUUUAAAGAAAGCGUAAUAGCUCACUGGUCGAGUCGGCCUGCGCGGAAGAUGUAACGGGGCUAAACCAUGCACCGAAGCUGCGGCAGCGACACUAUGUGUUGUUGGGUAGGGGAGCGUUCUGUAAGCCUGCGAAGGUGACCUGUGAGGGUUGCUGGAGGUAUCAGAAGUGCGAAUGCUGACAUAAGUAACGAUAAAGCGGGUGAAAAGCCCGCUCGCCGGAAGACCAAGGGUUCCUGUCCAACGUUAAUCGGGGCAGGGUGAGUCGACCCCUAAGGCGAGGCCGAAAGGCGUAGUCGAUGGGAAACAGGUUAAUAUUCCUGUACUUGGUGUUACUGCGAAGGGGGGACGGAGAAGGCUAUGUUAGCCGGGCGACGGUUGUCCCGGUUUAAGCAUGUAGGCUGGUUAUCCAGGCAAAUCCGGAUAAUCAAGGCUGAGGUGUGAUGACGAGGCACUACGGUGCUGAAGUAACAAAUGCCCUGCUUCCAGGAAAAGCCUCUAAGCAUCAGGUAACAUCAAAUCGUACCCCAAACCGACACAGGUGGUCAGGUAGAGAAUACCAAGGCGCUUGAGAGAACUCGGGUGAAGGAACUAGGCAAAAUGGUGCCGUAACUUCGGGAGAAGGCACGCUGGUGUGUAGGUGAAGUCCCUGCGGAUGGAGCUGAGACCAGUCGAAGAUACCAGCUGGCUGCAACUGUUUAUUAAAAACACAGCACUGUGCAAACACGAAAGUGGACGUAUACGGUGUGACGCCUGCCCGGUGCCGGAAGGUUAAUUGAUGGGGUUAUCCGUAAGGAGAAGCUCUUGAUCGAAGCCCCGGUAAACGGCGGCCGUAACUAUAACGGUCCUAAGGUAGCGAAAUUCCUUGUCGGGUAAGUUCCGACCUGCACGAAUGGCGUAAUGAUGGCCAGGCUGUCUCCACCCGAGACUCAGUGAAAUUGAACUCGCUGUGAAGAUGCAGUGUACCCGCGGCAAGACGGAAAGACCCCGUGAACCUUUACUAUAGCUUGACACUGAACAUUGAGCCUUGAUGUGUAGGAUAGGUGGGAGGCUUUGAAGCGUGGACGCCAGUCUGCGUGGAGCCAACCUUGAAAUACCACCCUUUAAUGUUUGAUGUUCUAACGUUGGCCCCUGACCGGGGUUGCGGACAGUGUCUGGUGGGUAGUUUGACUGGGGCGGUCUCCUCCCAAAGCGUAACGGAGGAGCACGAAGGUUAGCUAAUCCUGGUCGGACAUCAGGAGGUUAGUGCAAUGGCAUAAGCUAGCUUGACUGCGAGCGUGACGGCGCGAGCAGGUGCGAAAGCAGGUCAUAGUGAUCCGGUGGUUCUGAAUGGAAGGGCCAUCGCUCAACGGAUAAAAGGUACUCCGGGGAUAACAGGCUGAUACCGCCCAAGAGUUCAUAUCGACGGCGGUGUUUGGCACCUCGAUGUCGGCUCAUCACAUCCUGGGGCUGAAGUAGGUCCCAAGGGUAUGGCUGUUCGCCAUUUAAAGUGGUACGCGAGCUGGGUUUAGAACGUCGUGAGACAGUUCGGUCCCUAUCUGCCGUGGGCGCUGGAGAAUUGAGGGGGGCUGCUCCUAGUACGAGAGGACCGGAGUGGACGCAUCACUGGUGUUCGGGUUGUCAUGCCAAUGGCACUGCCCGGUAGCUAAAUGCGGAAGAGAUAAGUGCUGAAAGCAUCUAAGCACGAAACUUGCCCCGAGAUGAGUUCUCCCUGAGACUU
rnacentral:rRNA from 1 species